rnacentral:rRNA from 1 species
UUUUCAUCAGACAAUCUGUGUGAGCACUGCAAAGUACGCUUCUUUAAGGUAAGGAGGUGAUCCAACCGCAGGUUCCCCUACGGUUACCUUGUUACGACUUCACCCCAGUCAUGAAUCACAAAGUGGUAAGCGCCCUCCCGAAGGUUAAGCUACCUACUUCUUUUGCAACCCACUCCCAUGGUGUGACGGGCGGUGUGUACAAGGCCCGGGAACGUAUUCACCGUGGCAUUCUGAUCCACGAUUACUAGCGAUUCCGACUUCAUGGAGUCGAGUUGCAGACUCCAAUCCGGACUACGACGCACUUUAUGAGGUCCGCUUGCUCUCGCGAGGUCGCUUCUCUUUGUAUGCGCCAUUGUAGCACGUGUGUAGCCCUGGUCGUAAGGNNNNNNNNNNNNNNNNNNNNCCAUGAUGACUUGACGUCAUCCCCACCUUCCUCCAGUUUAUCACUGGCAGUCUCCUUUGAGUUCCCGGCCGGACCGCUGGCAACAAAGGAUAAGGGUUGCGCUCGUUGCGGGACUUAACCCAACAUUUCACAACACGAGCUGACGACAGCCAUGCAGCACCUGUCUCACGGUUCCCGAAGGCACAUUCUCAUCUCUGAAAACUUCCGUGGAUGUCAAGACCAGGUAAGGUUCUUCGCGUUGCAUCGAAUUAAACCACAUGCUCCACCGCUUGUGCGGGCCCCCGUCAAUUCAUUUGAGUUUUAACCUUGCGGCCGUACUCCCCAGGCGGUCUACUUAACGCGUUAGCUCCGGAAGCCACGCCUCAAGGGCACAACCUCCAAGUAGACAUCGUUUACGGCGUGGACUACCAGGGUAUCUAAUCCUGUUUGCUCCCCACGCUUUCGCACCUGAGCGUCAGUCUUUGUCCAGGGGGCCGCCUUCGCC